GAUGAACGCUAGCGGCAGGCUUAACACAUGCAAGUCGAGGGGUAUAGUUCUUCGGAGCUAGAGACCGGCGCACGGGUGCGUAACGCGUAUGCAAUCUACCUUUUGCAGAGGGAUAGCCCAGAGAAAUUUGGAUUAAUACCUCAUGGUAUGUGAGAAUGGCAUCAUUUUCACAUUAAAGUCACAACGGCAAAAGAUGAGCAUGCGUCCCAUUAGCUAGUUGGUAAGGUAACGGCUUACCAAGGCAACGAUGGGUAGGGGUCCUGAGAGGGAGAUCCCCCACCCAGGUACUGAGACACAGACCAGACUCCUACGGGAGGCAGCAGUGAGGAAUAUAGGACAAUGGGCGCAAGCCUGAUCCAGCCAUGCCGCGUGCAGGAUGACGGUCCUAUGGAUUGUAAACUGCUUUUGUACAGGAAGAAACACUGGUUCGUGAACCAGCUUGACGGUACUGUAAGAAUAAGGAUCGGCUAACUCCGUGCCAGCAGCCGCCGUAAGAC
rnacentral:rRNA from 1 species